CUGACCCAUAACACCGUCCCUCAUUCGAUUACUAUUGACCUUAAUUCUCUACCCCUCACAGAUCCUUGCGACGAUUGUACCUUUUACAAUGGAGUCGGCUACAACUCGCACGAAACUGACUGCAACUUGUUCUACCAGUGCCAUCUUGUCCACGGCGUGCUGAAACCUGUUGUGAAACAAUGUGGAUUCGGUCUCUUCUGGAAUCAGGCUAAAUUGACCUGCAUGGAGCCAAAAGAUGUCCCUUCAUGUCCCCAGGUUCUAUGCCAGGGUAGGGCCACGAGCUACGUGUACACUGGUAACUGUGCCGCCUAUUGGACCUGUUACAACGACAGACCCACCUACGCACACCUGCUGCGCCCGGGGUCAUGCCUUUGUCCAGGACGUGGGCUGUGUACCAGACUCCUCAUGCCAAGAUGUCUGCCCAUCAAAGUCGUGGUUGGAGAUAAAGGUAUUUGCAACAAACUUCCUGGACCGAAUCCCGGUCAGUAUUACGAACAGUUGGAUGGUACCGAGCAAAUGCUGAGAGACUGUGCUCCUGGAACUGGUUU